GGCAGUGCUAGCGGAUGUUUCUUCCAUCUUUGCACCUGCAAGCUUAAGUCUCAAUUGAAGUUUCUUUGCUGAGCUUUUCAAAGGUAACUUUCAAUAUCACUCAAGGCAAGGCGCACUGAGAAGUUAUAAACAGGGAUUAAUUUUCUUUCAGCCACUGGCUUACUUGACAUUCUUAGCCCCAGAUCUGUGGUACCAGAGGACAAAUUCAGGACAGAUGAGAAUCCCGGGUAAAGUGAGCAACCUGCCCAAAAAGGACCGGGAGGCUUUCCGAAGUUAAGAGGAUAAUUUCAGUUCUCCACCCAUCGCCUCGCCUUCAAUUCAGAAGAGAGAGGCUACGGCAUGUUGAUAGACAUGUGACAGGAGAGCUGGGAGAGGCUGAAAAGAGAUGAAGGCUUUUUUUAAUUUACAAAAAGCCAGCUGUCCUCUCUCCGCAUCUUGCCUCAUCACUCCUGAAGGAGUCAGGAUGGACCUGGUGAUGACGCAUGAGGCGGAACAGACCCCAGUUCACAUCUCAUCUAUCUGGAGUGGCUCCCACACCAUAAAAAAACUUUCUUCCUUUGAGUUGGUGAAGAGGAGUGAUGUGCAAGAAGGCGCCAUUUAAUCAGUCGGGCCAGAGAAACACAGUCAAGCCUUCAGGUCUCCAACUGACAGUUAAUGAUAGGGAAUUCCACAGCAUUGAGAGAGACCAGAUGGCUGGCAACAACCAUUCCAGAUCCAAAAACAGGGCCAGCAUCCACAUACACUCCCCUGUUUUACUUAGCUAACCCCUUCUCUGGUGGAGAGUAUAUUUUGUGUUGGAUUUGGAGUGAGUGG